rnacentral:lncRNA from 10 species
CACAGCGGCCUUGGGUUUGGGCUCCAGCCCCAGCCGGGCCCCCUCGCGCCGCUGCGGCUGCUGCGCGGUGAGGUCGUGACAAGUCACAGCUAACUUGCCCUCCGCGCCAUUCCACGCCACCAGGAAGCGCAGCCGGUGCCUCUCGGCAUCGGCGAAGAGGCCUUGCCGGACCGGCGCCCAGCCCUCCAGGCUGUCGAGCUGCUCGUCCUCCAUGGCCGUCGGCGGCAGCGGCCCUAGGACUCGGCGGGCGCGGGCCUGACCUCGUCGCACUGCCUGUCAGGGGACAGUCCCAGGCUGGAGUGCAAUGGCAUGAUCUCGGCUCACUGCGACCUCUGCCUCUUGGGUUCAAGCGAUUUUCUUGCCUCA